GGAUGCCGCACAACUGUUUUCAGCUUUAGCCUGUAAUGCAUUGACAAAAACUUAGUGUUAAGAUUCAGGAUACGGACAUUGGCAAAUGUAUUUGUAAUCCAAAUAUGGAGUUCAUCUUUAGUUCCUAGAUCUAUUUAAUGGGUCUAUUUUUCUUUUUAAACUAAUGUAUUCAUGUACUGCAGUGUCCUGGAAACUAAAGCAAUGUCACACAAGCAAUGCACAUCUGAUGUUAUCGGGUUGCAGGGUGCAUGAUAGGGGUUAACACAUCUCUGUGUGAUUUGUGGAUUGCGAAAAAGCUGAAUUUGGGUAUCACCACACACUGGAACACUUAGUUCAUGAUAGUUUGUGUUUCUUUUCAAAUGGAAGAAGAAAAAAUCAAAUAUUUCAAGGGUCAUACAUCCUUCCAAAGCCUGUGUCCCUCCCUCGGCAUGCAUUGAGGUGCGGGGGACUUGGUGUAACUUGUUCUGUAUUUGUAAAUUGUUGAUGUGGGGCUUAUGCAGUAUAAUGAAUGUAAACAAGGCUGUUGAACCAUCAAAGAUGUUUUUUUAAUUUUCGUUAGCCAUCAAAACUUGAGAUCUUCAAAGUCGGUUGAGGCUAAAGCCCAAUUUUUGUUGUUGCUUAUUUCAUCUGUUGAGUAGCCAAAUGUCCUCAGCCUUUCGACCAGCAGUGUCAAACUUUCUUUGGAGUUAAAGCUUCCCUCAGAAGGGCUGUUAUGACAAUGAAACCAAAUGAAUGUUUAAA